UGGAAGCUUCAAGGGCUGGAAAGGUAUUUUAUUGAAUCAUUGUCAUGCUUUAUUGUUAGUGCUUGUGUGAAAAGGCUGAUGAAAUAGAUGUUCACAGGUUUUAGUAUCUUGAUAAUUGUAGCAUAGUAGAAGGCCUAUUUGUGGGAGACUGGGACCCUUAACAAUAGCUGUGUCCAUAAUGAAUAGCUCAAUUUCAGGUGCUAUUAUAUUAAAAGGGAAAUGGAAUGCAUACAAUUUUUCUAACGCUUUAAGAGAAUAAUGGAAUUAUUGUCUUUCUGUAGGCCAUUAUUUUAAUGCACUAUUAACUGAAAACUCAUGAAUGUGUCCUUUGUCCUAAGAAUGUUUAAAAUUUAUUGUAAAUUUUGUAAAUUGGAAAGUUAGUGGAAUCCAUGAAUUUCAACAUAUCCUGUUAAAAAUUUGCAUAUUAUAGUUUGUAAAUGAUCAUUACCAUGAUAUUCUAUGAGGCACAGAAACACACAUGACAAUAAAAGUUGGGUUGAUGACAAAUGCAAUAAAAAUGGCAGCACUGCUGAUGGAGAUGGUUGUGAUAUUGCUUGUUUCAGUCACCCCAAAAGCAAUGAUUGAUGAGCCACAAAAAAAUUUCCUAGUGAAAAACUAAUGAGGAAGUAGUACUAUUGUCAGUGGUGGUUAUAGUAUUAAUGGUGUUAAUUAUCUUGAUAUUGCUAGUGUCAAUAAUGGUAGCUGCAGAGAUACAGUACUGAUGAAGAAAGAAAUUGAUACUACAGGCAAGAAUAGUGGUGAUGAAGGUGGCAAUGUUCAUCAUGAUUGUUGUGAAUUAGCUUAUUACAAUUUAUGGUAAUAGAGAUGAUGUUGAUGUUAGGAAAGGCUGAGUUUGUAACAAAGAGUGGUAGGAACAGUAAUAGAGAUGGCCAUGGCAAAGGUGGUGAUUAUGGUGCUUAGUGAAUGGAGGUGGUAAAUUCAGGAAUCUUCAGUUUAUAAGAUUGCGUUUGUUCAUCUGAAAGUUGUGCAAGUACAAAAUCCUAACAUUGAUGACAGAUAUGACUUUGAUGGUGGUUUGCCAAUGCUUGAAGGGCUCAAUAAAUUACCUAUAUCUUAAUUUCCCUUUUUGAAAUGUGCAGGUGUUGAUGGAAUAUCUGGCUGUGAGUUAACCUGACAUUAUACUAGUAAUACUUACAGAAAUUUUGUCCUGGAAUAAUCUUGGGAUCUUAGUACCAUUGAAUGUUUUUAAUGGGGUUCGGUAUAAUUGUUCUCUGCAAGGAAACUACCUUCUGUUCUCUGGAUGAUGAUGAUGAUUAAUAUUUGUUAAAAUUAUUAAGGAUGGAUGUGAUUGCUGUGAGGUUAAUGUGGCGUGCACACUUUUCUUACAGAUGAUAGUUUCUAGCGAAAAACAACUUAUAAUGCAUGGUUAUAUCUAUCGGAAAAUUUUAAUAACUAUUAUGUUUGCAGGGAGAACCGAUAGAAAUGACUUGGAAGCACUUGG
rnacentral:misc_RNA from 1 species